rnacentral:rRNA from 1 species
UACAGAGGGUGCGAGCGUUGUCCGGAAUCACUGGGCGUAAAGGGCGCGUAGGCGGCCUGAUAAGUAGGGGGUGAAAUCCUGUGGCUUAACUGCAGGGCUGCCUCCUAGACUGUUAGGCUCGAGCACGGUAGAGGCAGAUGGAAUUCCCGGUGUAGCGGUGGAAUGCGUAGAGAUCGGGAAGAACAUCGGUGGCGAAGGCGGUCUGCUGGGCCGUUGCUGACGCUGAGGCGCGACAGCGUGGGGAGCAAACAGGG